CAUUUCCCACAAUGCUUGUCGAUUGUAUUACCCGCAAAGUUACGGCUUACUGCCACUACACGGCAGUGUAGUCAUUGAUGUGGAAACCCUGCCGGAGGGAAGGUGUAACUUCGCGGGUGGAAUUGAGACAUAUAAAUGUUUAUCCCAUAAUGUCCAGAAAAAGAGAAGUUGAUGCAGACGGACGGCUGUGCUUCAAGGCGAAAGACCGGUAUGCCUUUUGUGUUACGAAGAGUGUUACUGACCAAAAUAAACGCUUUUUAGGAGAGAUAUAAGUUCUGUGUAAAUAUUUAUAAGACAAUAGCUGACAAAAUCUGUUUUAAUGACGUUAAUAAACAUCACUGUGACAGCGCUAGUCGCAGUUUCACCGCAGCAAAGUACGAGGACGUGAAUCACUUAUCUAACCAGCCUUUACUGAUUUCUGCCCUCAAUAACCCUUUCAAUAACCUCCAAUAGCCUUUAAUAGUCUUCAGUAGCCUUCAACAGUCUAACCUUGCAGCCGUGGUGUGUCCACUAAACUCCGUAGUUAUAAACAUCCUGAGGUUAGCAGCGCGAUAACUGACCUGUUUAUAAUGUAAUCCCAGCAGUGACUCAUGCUCUAAACGGCUGCUGUUAGCUGAUUGGGCUGAAAGAUGAACUGUAGAGAGCUGUAUUAUUCGGUUACAAAAAUCUUUAUUUCAUACACAGAAGAACUUAAAAAUUGUAAAAACGCUCCAGACUGGCUGAGCUGAGCCCUGUAGCCCGUGGCUGGGCUGUAGCUCUGACUCAGUAAAGACUGCGGACUUGUGGUGCUGCUGCUGCUGCUGCAGCUCCCACUAGUGGUUGGAUGAGGAACUGCUAAAUCUGAGGAAAUGCUAUGUUCUUAACAGCUCACAAUUUUUGAUUUUAUAUUUAUUAAGCCUUAUUUCAGUUAAUAAUUUCAAAGUUAAUAUAACUUGAUGUCAUUUCUAUUCACUUGAAUAGUUUGGUUCUUGAUUGAUGGAGUUUUUGGAUUUCAUGACAUGACAAAUUAAAAGGAUUUAUGUUAAUAGAGCAACAAGCAAACAUUUUUUCCAUGCAACUGUAAUAUUUGAUUGAAUAAAUAAUAUAUUGAGAGUUAUUUAACAUUAAGGAGUAAUUACAUUCAUUUACAUAUAUUACAUUUGGUUACAUUUUAUUACAUAUAUAAGUUACAUCUGGCCCUCGGAGGACAGCCAAUAUGCCAAUGUGGCCCUCGGCCAAAAUGAGUUUGACACCCCUGCAGUAAACAUAGAAUAUAUAGAAGCAACAUUCUAACCUGAUUGGCUUCUAGCUUUUCUUUGGACCCAUCACAUACAAGGCGGUCCGAUGUCCUCAAGCUCCUGCUCUCUGAAUUUCUAGUUUUUUUUCCCUGUUUAUUCUGUUGAACGGGGUGGACCCACGUCGAUCUGUGGGAACGGCUGUGUUUCCAGCGCAGGUAAAUCGCAGAAACGGCCAAGAGUCCAGCAAGUUUGGGAGUUAUAGCUGUAGAAUAAAGUGGCCAAGCGAUUCCUUUUUUGUGCUUUUUUUUCUUGUCGGAGGCUGGACCAUGAUACACACGUGCAUUGAGCUUGACAGGCCCAUAAGCGACUCAUCGCAUUCCAGUGUGAACACAGGAUAUGGUUCUACGCCUGCUGGCGUGUUGCUGCGUGGUAGACUACUGGCUUUCCAAGAUUCUCGUCAACCUACACCAGCUAGGUAUCUAAGGAAAGACAACCUGCACCCAAGACUUCAACAGUACAGACGUUAUCGGUACAUCUAGAUUCUACCAACGGAACCACAACUACAUCUCCAACAAUCAAUAUGCAAGUAAGGAAUGCCGAAACCUUUCUUCUGGCAAUCAUAGUAGUUUUCCUAGGUGUAUACUCGAAGUCUAAGUUCACCUGUUGCCAGUGAGGACAAUGACAACUCAUUUAAGUCACUAUUCAAUUUAACAAGGCAGACAUUAUUUCCAGGAAGAAAUGUCUGUUUUCCACAUCCUGUCAGUGUCUCUGCUGGAAUAGCUUUGGACUGCUCAUCCAAUUUCUGACUGUGAUAUUUGUCGUCUAUUACUGAUAGAUGUUUUAUCUCCUGAAAUUAACACAAGUCAUAACAUAUCUCAGCCCAAGAUAUCCCAGUGCUGUACAUCGGGCGUGGCAGCCUGUGAGAAGACAUAUGCUCCAGACCAUAGACAUUGAUGGUAUAUACUCCAUUCCUAAACCAUUGUGCGGACGUGUGAUAUAACUUAAUCAAAUCGAUAAUAGUCAUACCCAUAGACAACAGUCUGAUUUCAAGGCAAAAACAAUUACUGAUUGUGUCUGACAAAAAAAUACGGUUUAAUUGGCUGUGAAUUACUAACUUUUGUCGUACUCCUGCACCUACUCUUACAUAUUGGUGAUGUGGAAGUUCUGCUUUUAGUGAACUACCUGCUGGAUUCAAAUGGUCAGUGUUCUUUAAUUUAUUUGCUACCAGCAAUGAGACCACAGUCAACCAACCACACAGAAUGAACCCCAUAGAAAAGGUUAGCAAGGAUUGUAAUGUGAUAGUUAUUCACAGUUCUAUAAACAUCCCAGUUUCUUUAGAUGUGCCAAGUGCAUGUGGCCUGGUUAAUUGUUCAUUGUAAUACACAGGUGUGCACAUGGUACAAGAACAGUGAGGAGGUCUUUGCUGGCUCUAAAUAUCACAAUUUUAUAAAUGCAAAAUUACAUCCUAAUGGAACUCUAGAAAUGUCGUCUCCUAAUAAGGGCAUGCACCUUUUAUUUAAGGAGUCCCAACAACAUAACAAAACAAUAACUCCUGAAAUAAUAUUAUCAUUAAUUUCCUGUAAAUUAGACAUUUACAGUACUUUUACUUUUGAGGUAAAUUCAGUACCAUGCCACAUAAAAUAUUUGGUUCUUACAUGCUUUGCAUCACGUAUUCCAACUAGUGUGUCAUUAUUUGCUGAUCAUAAUCCAUGUAUUGAACAUUUAACAUGCGUUUAAUCAUUCUGGACUAGGUUUUUAGGUGGACUCACUCCAAACUAUGGUGUUAUGCUUGCCCUAGAUCAAACACAUAGCAUUGAAAAACUUGCUGAUGACACGGCACAGUCAUUAGGUGUUCCCGCUACUACAUUUUUUAAAUCACAUAGGCUGAUAAUUUUUUUAAAACAGAGUGGCCUUAGAAUAUAUAUUAGCUCAGCAAGGAGGAACAUGUUCUGUAUUCAGGGCUUAUCUUUGACCCAGUUCUCUCGUUUGAUGCACACAUAUGUAGCAUAGUCAAAACUGCAUUCUUCCAUUUAUGAAAUAUAGCUAAAAUCUGCAGUAUACUCUCUCUGGAAGAUGCUGAGAAGCUGGUGCAUGCAUUCAUAAUCUUGAGGCUGGACUAUUGCAAUGCGUUGUUGGCUGGAAGUACAUCCACUCCAGCUAGUUCAGAAUGCAGCCGCGAGAGUGCUUACUAGAGCUAGAAAAUUUGAAAAUUGACAUUACCCCUAUUCUUUCAUCCCUACACUGACUACCUGUUAAAUUUUGAAUAGAUUAUAAAAUACUUCUCCUGACGUAUAAAUCCCUCAAUGGUCUGGCCCCACAUUAUCUAGAGGAAGUUCUUACUCCUUACAAUCCGCCAUGUUCACUCCGCUCCCAAGACGCUGGCCUGUUAUUAGUCCAGUGUAUUAGGGGGGGAAAAAAAAAAAAAAAACUUUGCAGGAGGAAGAGCUUUUUUUUUUUUUAUAAAUCUCCCCAACUUUAAAAUAACUUCCCUAUUAAUUUACAGGACUCAGACACACUCUCAGUCUUUAAAUCUAGACUCAUUUCUAGUCAUUUCUAUUUGCUUAAGCUUUUGAAUACUGUCUCAUUGCAAUUUCUGUGAUUUUUCUCUUACUGUAGCCCUUCUAACUAUUCCUCUUGCAGCUCAUCCAGCAAAUAUAAACCCUGUCCUAAUCAUCUGCUUUCUCCUUCCCUUCCACCUCCAACAAUUCUCUGUACUGUUUUGUUCUGUUAUUGAUUUGUACUGAGCGGGUCGACCCGAGUAGGAUAGGUUCCUCUGACUGAGUCUUGGUUCCUUCCUUUUAAAAGGAAGUUUUUCACUGCCACUGUGUCACCAUAAAAAUUGGCCACACCAUGCAGAAGCAUGUGAAGACCCAAAAGUGGAAGGAACUGAUUUCUGUGCCUGUGGAAGGCAAGGCCAGGGGUGUUGUAGGCACUAGGCCGUUUCUAAUUGGGGAGGUCGUACGUGAUUACCAUGGGAAAGUAGUGAGUAGGAAAGUGGGUAUUGAGACCCACAAAUCCACAACUGGCAUAGAAAGUGGAUGUUUAUUUACAAAGAUAAGAAUGGGUAAAGUAAAUGUGUUUAUGCCUAUUUUGAAGAGCAUCAUCCCAGGAAACAAACAAUUGGACCUUUUUAAAGACUUUUUUUUCAAGCUCAAAGGAAGUCUUGAAGUCUGCGUACUUCUCUCACUGACUGUGAGAAAUCUCUCCUGGCCACAGUUUGUGCAGUCAAAACACAUCUUUAAUUACUUUGAGGACAGAAAGUCAUAGUUGAAACCAACAAUUAACCAGUGAUCUUUCUCAACACUGCAGAGUUUCAAUGUUGAAGUGCACAACACACAAAUCCUGAGACUGAGACGGCACUAGUCUCUCAGCAAUGCGAAACUGACGUCCCAGCUCAUAUGGCGCCAGUUUCUGAUCUUACUCCCCUGGCACCAACCCAACUCGUUACUUUGACCUAAAGAAGUGUGGGAACAUUCCCACGGUCUCCCACGGGUGCUUCUCCCAUCACAACCAGUGGGGACUCUAGGCCGGUGUUGAAAAUCUGAACCGGAAGGCCUCACCCCUUAAGAUAAGUAUAAAUUUAGUCGCUACUUAGCACCCUCUUAAAUUAAACUGUUACAUAAUAUUAACUAAGUUUACACUUGCUGUCAACAAUGUCUGUGGUACUGUAAUAGACAUGGUCCAUGAUUAAAAAAAAAAAAACUGAUCACAGUGUGAUUUGUUACUUGCUAUAGUGAUUCACACCAUAGCUUUAUAUAAAAUAAAAAAUAGCAUUAAAAACUUUGGCCUGUGUCAGACAAUUUUCUUGACAGGACUCGAGGACCUUGGUGGGAAUUCUUGGCCUGACCCGGCCCAAGUUAGAGAAUCUAAACUUUUAUUAAGAUGGGGUUCAACUCCCUGAUCAUAUUUUUUGGCUAAAGUAUCUGAAUUGAAUGAACUAAAACGCUAAACUAAUGCAAAGUCCGGCUGAUAGGUCGCACAUUUAUUUGCUUGUUGUUUGUUUAGCUUGUGUUGCUGGUUUUAUUUCUCUUUGUAAUUAUUCCUAAUUCUUUUUGUUUGAGGGUAAUUGUAUUACUAACUGUUGUUUGCAACUCUUAUCUGGUGUUUAUCUUGAGGGACAUGGCAAAGGUGGAGAAACGCACACUCUGGACGUCCUAUGAGGAGCUCGAUGGGCUGGAUCAGCAGCUCCAGCUGGAGAAGCAGAUGGAGAUCCAUUGGCAGAAGAUGAGGCUGAGGAAGGCUGGAGAACGCUUCCUUCACGGCCAUCUCCACCCCGGCGUUACUGACUUUGCCAUCAAGCUGCUGGCGCUCAAAGAGAGCAAAAUUGGCCCUGCUCCCUCCGGGUGGGUAGAUGGCGCUCUCUCCCUACAUCACUAAAGGGUGAUGUCCACAGCACAGGGCAUCUGGCCUAUGCCACACACGACACAAACAAAUCCAUGGAGGAAGGCGAGAGAAGUGCGUUUUGUAGCUGGAAAUACAGCCACUAUUUUGAGUUAGUAUCAGUUAAAGGUUCCAAUAUCAGGGUUCGCUGUACACUUUGUGCUGGCAACAAAGCGCUAUCUAUUUUCAGAAACUAGACAUCUAAUCUGAAGAAACAUUUGGAGUCGCAGCACAGCACAUUCAAACUUACCAAGCAAGUCCCACUAGGUGGUGCAAAGCAGAGAGCCGCAUCUAAUGCAGGAGGUACUCCUCCACUCAGACAGAAGCUGGACUGUAAAACCAGUAAGUUUAUAUUUUUUAUAAAAACAAGUAUUUAAGUGAAAUCAAGAAAGGACAUUUAUUUUUUUAUAAAAACAAUUUUGUUAAUUCAAGAGAAAUGGUCUUAUUUUUAUAAAAACUUUCAGGAAAUAGCUCAACUUUAAAUGUCAAGAGAUGCAUUGUUGCUGUUAAAAAUGCAUUUUCCAAGAAAGGGAGUAUUGGCAAAACUGGAUAAAAUUUUAAUGUUAAAGGCGGCAGGAGGUGGUGCCUGCAGCUGCUAAAAGUAACUAAUAAAAGUAACUUGUGAAGUAACUUAGUUACUUUAUGGAUUACUAGAUUUUAAAAGUAACUAAGUUAGUUUUUUAAGAAGUAAUCAGUAAAUCGUAUUACUUUUUCAAAGUAACUAUACCAUCACUGCUAGUGAUAGGGGGGAGUCCUAGUGAGUGGGUUGGGUAAUUGGCUGUGAUAAAUUGGGGAGCAAAUGGGAAAAAUUUGAACAGUGUACUGCUGAUAUAUAGACUAUGCUACAUACUGCUAGAAUUUGAAUCAUAGGAACUUAUUUUUUGUUUUUUUUAAAUGUGACUGACUUAAAUUUCCUUUCUUUCUUAAGAUUCUUAAGUUCCACACAGGCAGUACUGAACUGUGCUUUAAAGACAGAGUCCUGCAUGCAGACUGUGUAAAACUGUGUAACAUGUAGCAACAUUCAGACGGCGCCUUUAAAACAAGUCAUCAAGGAGAGGACCAGGUAAAGAUUCGAUACUGGAUGCUGCCAGGACAGAUUUCCUUGCUGUCGUCAGGAAACUGCGUGGGGAGAGUGCUUUCCAGGCCAUCAGAUGACCCUGGCAGAGUUGCAGCUGGUCCUCUAUUACUUAGAUGCCAUUGCAAUCCAGAAGCGUGCAGAGCAGCCUGGAGUUGUGGAGCACAUGACUGCAAGUCACGGAAUGGAUCAGCCGCAGGAGAGAUCAUGGUCACGGUGGUAACGUUGUGGUGGCAGUAAAGGAGCACAAGACCGCUGCCACACUUGCUUUAUCCCAGAUAUAGAGAAGAUGAUAUGUUUAAUUUUAACUUUAAUUUAGUCCUGUUAUAAAUGCUAUGAGAUAUGUAAAUAUGUUCUGUGAAUGCUAGAUUUUAUUAUUAUUAUUUUUUUUCCCUUUUCAUAGUGGGUCGAUCUUUACUAUUCCGAGGUGCGCCCAGUCCUGCUUGGAAAGAAGAGAAAAGCACUUUGAGGAUGACUAUGAUGAGGAGUUGGAGGAGAGGUUCUUCAUCUCCUCCACUGGCAAAACCAUCCAUUACACCUUCGAAGACCUGGAGCAGCUGCACAAAAAGCUAAAUUAAAGUGACGAGCCAAACGGCCAGACGGGCAUACGAGACAGCCAAAAAGAACCGGUCUGAUGCCGAAAAGGUCACUGCAGAGAAGCACUACUGAAUGAAGGAGAUUAGCUCAACGGUGGAUGCUUGCCUGAUACUGAAGAGCCUCUGCAGUGAUUCAGAUUAUGAGCAGGGUAACGACACUGCUACCGUUUCCUCGUCCUACAUAAGCGACCAAGCUGCAUACGACAAGUUGCUCCAGUCGUAUCCAGUGACGUUGGACGGGUUCCAGUAAAAAUGGUCUGAGCGGACAUUCCUGGCAGGAACCGCGAUGCGAUCCGAACUGUGGCCACACUGUACCGUUGCAUCACUAGUGACUACAGGACAGUGGUGUCAAGACAGGAGGGCUUAGCAACCCAUAGUCCUACAGUAGAGAGGGAGAGUGGCUACAUCUCUUUUUAUUUUAUUUUUUUAUAAUUAUGGACAGGUAGAUGGCAAGGACCUAAUCCUCUUUAUCGUUUGGCACUGAAAAAUCUUCAUGCAAUACAAAAUAUGUUUGAGUACUCUAGUUGACCGUAACCCUCAAAAACCCACAACAAUAUUAAUGAAGCCAUAAAAACCAGUCACUACUGCUAGUACUCUCAAUAGAGCUUAUAUCGGGCCCAAACAGUCCAGACCAAUCCUACCUGUACAUGUUUCAUUGUGAUUCAGAGGCCGAUCCCAAUUUAAACCAGGCGUUUAUUUAGUAAGUAAAGCUUUAAGACAGACAUUUUAACUUCAAUACACAGCUGUUUGAAUGAGAGAACUCUGUUCAAAAUGAUGUUAAUAAACAGUGAAACACAAAAGAA